rnacentral:rRNA from 1 species
UACGUAGGGUGCAAGCGUUAAUCGGAAUUACUGGGCGUAAAGCGUGCGCAGGCGGUUUUGUAAGUCUGUCGUGAAAUCCCCCGGGCUCAACCUGGGAAUUGCGAUGGAGACUGCAAGGCUAGAAUCUGGCAGAGGGGGGGGUAGAAUUCCACGUGUAGCAGUGAAAUGCGUAGAGAUCGGGAGGAACACCUGUGGCGAAGGCGGCCCCCUGGGCCGCGCCUGACGCUGAGACGCCGAAGGCUAGGGGAGCGAAGCGGGAUUGAGA